GAUAAGUUAUUGAAUGCAUCCCCCACCCUUCCUCCAGUUGUGAUUGGCGCCAACAUAGAACUAUAACUUGAGAAGACUCGCACUGUUUAGUGAUAGUUAGAUAUUACUUUCAUCUAAAUUAGAAUUUAUUUAGCUUUAUAAUUAACAUUAUAUCUCAAAAGUGGUGUCGUAAAAUAGCGGUAUUUCAUGUAACGAGACACAAAUGGAAGUCCCGUCAUAAAUGCACCAUCAAAUUGUUUAUGAUAACUACGAGAAAAGAGGGUUGAGUCGAGCUGGUAGGAGCAUGGGCCUACCAUGGUAGGAGGGUCCGCACGAGCCCUUCUUACCCUAAAGGACGAAGAUUAGAGCAGCGCCGCCACGGGUCAUAAGUUACACCACUCAUCAGCAGUUAGUAUUCAUUUGAAGAGGAACUGUUGCGAGAAGACGACCAAUGUGACAUUUCUCUCUCGUAUGUUGUAAGAGCACCAGCAUGCAACCAUCAUUAGUGUCUACAUGUUGAUACCCAGCAAUGCCUCCUGAAAUGCAACCUGUCUUCGAGAACGACCCCUGGUUAUGGAUAGAUCACUGAUGGAAGUUGGAGUCGUUCUACGCACCGGACUAGUCAACUUGUUGGUAUUCAACCUUGAUUUCAUAUUUGCUACACUACACAAGGUCAGUGUGAUCAUGAACCUGAUGCCGAAGUCUUACCUGUCACCAUAUGUAGUCCUCGGAUAUGAUAGAAGGGGGUCAAGAGCAAGAGGAUGGAUGAAGAUGGCUAACAAAACGACAGAAGAAGGUAAAUUUGGCCCUGAAUUCAUACAUAACCAUUUUUCACAUAAAUCAUGUUACCACUGUUGAUGCUUCUAAAAGAUAUAGGGUCUACUGUGUACAUAUCGUUGCGUUUUGCGCAAUAUGAUACAAAUACAAAUUGACUGCAAUAACUGCAAUCUGUUUUGUAGCAAUUAUAACUCCCUACACCCAACAAUGGAUGAAGAAUUCAAAUGCAUGCAUUACAUUUGCAUUGUAAAUUAGCUUUGGAUUAUACGACUGUAUAAGUUAGAGCUAUUAAUGAAGAUUGAUUCCUGAUCGUAUUGCAAUCAAAAUUAAUGAGCAAAUCAAAGCAAAGCAAAUUUAAUAUUCUUCUAUAAUUGCAUUUACUUAACUGAUAUCUAAAUUUGCUGGUUGAAAAGCAAUAGCAAGGUCUCCAAGUGAUUCGAAGUGAUCUCUAACUGUGAAUGGUUAUAAGGCAAUGGCACAUCGUUGUCUGAAGAUGCUCAGCUCCCCCCUCCCUUGCUUUCCUCCGUCCCAGUUUAAUGUGAGGACAUCUCCUCCUUUAUUGCGUCGUUCCAUCCCUAAAGAGAUUUGGCCUCCCUGACUAAUAUAGAUUCUGGAAUGAUCGAGCCGCUUAUAUAGAGUUAUCAAAUGGGUUUGGCCUCUCCAUGCUAUUGAACCAAGAGUAGAAUCAUCUGAAUCCGAACCGUAGUAGGAUCCCUUAUGGGUAGGAUAGUAGCCCAAUAAUUACGACCAUUAAACGAAAAAAAUGCAUUAACUUUCUUUCAUAGUUUUAAAUAGGUAAUUUCUAAAAAUGUAAACAUUAGUUGCAUACAAAGAGGUAUAAAUUAUUGUUACACGUUAUUACGACAGAGGACGUAAUUCUGUUUAUUUCCUGUAAGUCUUUACAUCAGCUAUCAUUUUAUACGUACCUGCAGCUUUGUGCAAGCCUCCUUAUCUCCCUGUCAUUUCCGAUAAAUCGUCCUAAUACACAGGAUCCGACAAAUCAACCCUCGGAUUGUAUAUGUCUCUCUUUUUUGUUUUAUUCUACACGAUAUCCAUUAGCAUCCAUCAUGCUGUAUAAUGUAAGAGGCCACCUUGUUCUGGUUUGUAUGCCUCCUUCGACUGUCGUGAACCUUAGAUAAUAUACGUCCUAUACACCGACAUGCUGGCAAUAUGGUAAUCAUCAGGAAGUUUGAAAGGAGAAUAUAAAAAUGGCUAAAGAAAUAUGUAGCUUGUAUAUCUACGGUAAUGACCUAGUAAAGAAUGAAUAUAUCCUGUAUCUAUUAUGAGCAUUACCAUUUCGAUUCAUCGUACAGUGAAAUGGUAUACGCCUAGUGCCACAUGUAAUGUCGAUCUCUUAAAAGCCAGAUUGAUAAUUUACGCAGUGCAAUGUGAGUACCUCCUGUUUACGUUUUAUACUGCAAAAACGGAGGAGACUUCCCGAAACCUGCUGCUGUGAACAGGAUAUCAAAGGGUAUUCUAUGCUUUGCACUUCCAGGAAAACAGGAUGUGAUAGUUUGCAUGAUGGAGGUGAUAUAGCAGGUCUUGUUUAAGGGGAACAUCGCUACUAUUUUGUUGUUUCAAGGGAGGCGUAUCGUAAAGCAUAUACAGUCAAACCUGCCUUAGUGGCCACCUCUCUAUACAGACCACCCGUCUAAAGUGGCCAUGUAUUUUGUCUACCUCGAGAAAGAAAUGUAUGUUGCAGAACCUGUCGAGAAAGGCCAUCUGUCUUCAGUGGCCACUUUCUCUGUAUCCCUAGUAAUAGUAAUAGUACACCGUAGAAUGACACUAAGCUGUGAGCCAAUUUUAAAUCUUUAAGAUUACAGUUUCUUUCUUUGUGUUCGGACCAUCUGCCGCUGGUGUAUACAUUGCAAAAAUAUGAGAUUAUAAGACCUACUAUAAGCAUUGUAAAAUUAUAUUUGAAUAUCAGCAGAUUUGCAUAUUUCUUUUUAAAUGGCAAUUCGAGAUCUUGGUUUUCCAAAUAUAAUUUGUAGAUGUUUCAUGAAAACAUUUGCAGGAAGAGACUAAUGAUGUAGGAGGCAUGUCAUAUUUUUAAGUUUUGGUUGUUUUGAAAGGAGCAUUAUUCGGAGUAGUGUCGAGACAUAUUUACUGCUCGAAUAGUCGAGUUGUUGUCGAAAUGGUAGUGCCAAGUAACUGCAUCAAAGUUAAUGUAUGCAAGCAGAUUAACUGCUUCGUUAUCAGUAAACAUUUGUCCGUCUUUAUUAUAUUAUCCAAAAAAUCUGAAGUGAAAAAAUGUGUAUUGUAAAUGACAGCAUAGCUUGAAAUGUAAUUUUAAGUCCAUUGCAAAGGAUAGAAAGCAGCUUGAUAUCCUCUCCCAACCUAAUUCCAACCUUAUAUCCUACUGAUUGUGUAAUUUGAUAUAUACGGAUUUCAAAUUAAAUUGUGUAGGCAGUCGCUGAGGAAAAGAUGAAGAAAACAAUUGGGAAUUUAAAAA
rnacentral:lncRNA from 1 species